rnacentral:rRNA from 1 species
UACGAAGGGAGCUAGCGUUGUUCGGAAUUACUGGGCGUAAAGGGCGCGUAGGCGGUUCGUUAAGUCCUGUGUGAAAUCCCCCGGCUCAACUGGGGAACUGCACAGGAAACUAGCGGGCUUGAGUUCGGGAGAGGGAAGCGGAAUUCCGGGUGUAGCGGUGAAAUGCGUAGAUAUCCGGAGGAACACCGGUGGCGAAGGCGGCUUCCUGGACCGACACUGACGCUGAGGCGCGAAAGCUAGGGGAGCAAACGGG